AAUCAACGCUGGCGGCGUGCCUAACACAUGCAAGUCGAACGCGAAAGCCCCUUCGGGGGUAAGUAGAGUGGCGUCCGGGUGAGUAACACGUGGGUAAUCUACCUUCGGGUGGGGGAAGUAAACUCAGGGAAACUUGAGCUAAUACCGCAUAAUGCAGCGGCACCUAAUGGUGAUUAGUUGUUAAAGCGGGGGAUCGCAAGACCUCGCGCCUGAAGAGGAGCCUGCGGCAGAUUAGCAGUUGGUGAGGUAAUGGCUCACCAAGGCUUCGAUCUGCAGCUGGUCUGAGAGGACGGCCAGCCACACUGGCACUGACACACGGGCCAGACUCCUACGGGAGGCAGCAGUGGGGAAUUUUGGGCAAUGGGCGAAAGCCUGACCAAGC
rnacentral:rRNA from 1 species